rnacentral:rRNA from 1 species
GUGGGGAAUAUUGGGCAAUGGGCGCAAGCCUGACCCAGCAACGCCGCGUGAAGGAAGAAGGCUUUCGGGUUGUAAACUUCUUUUACCAGGGACGAAACAAAUGACGGUACCUGGUGAAUAAGCCACGGCUAACUACGUGCCAGCAGCCGCGGUAAUACGUAGGUGGCGAGCGUUAUCCGGAUUUAUUGGGUGUAAAGGGCGUGUAGGCGGGACAGCAAGUCAGAUGUGAAAACCAGAGGCUCAACCUCUGGCCUGCAUUUGAAACUGUUGUUCUUGAGUGUCGGAGAGGUAAUCGGAAUUCCGUGUGUAGCGGUGAAAUGCGUAGAUAUACGGAGGAACACCAGUGGCGAAGGCGGAUUACUGGACGAUAACUGACACUGAGGCACGAAAGCGUGGGGAGCAAACAGGAUUAGAUACCCCAGUAGUCC